rnacentral:lncRNA from 1 species
CCCUUAUAUGGGAAAAAUGGGGGGUUUUGGGGGUUUUGAGGUGUUUUGGGGGUAUUUGGAGUCACUUUUUGGGAAUUUUGGGAUUUCUCGGUUUAUUUUUUGGGAAUUUUGGGGGUUUUUGAGUGUUUUUGGAGUUUUUGGGGUUUUUUUGGGUCAUUUUUUGGGGAUUUUGGGGUCACUGCUGGAGGAGGAGGCGCCGGUGCGGCCACGCCCACAGUGGGCGGGGCUGCGGCCGAUAUGCAAAUGAGCUCGCCGUAUAAGGGGAAAAUGCCCUUAUAUGGGAAAAAUGAGUUUAAAUUGCGGGAUUUUGGGUCAUUUUUUGGGGAUUUUGGGGAUUUUUGGGUCAUUUCUUGGGGAUUUUGGGGGUUUUUUUUUGAGAUUUUGGGGUUUUUUUGUGUUAUUUUUAGGGCAUUUUGGGGUUUUUUGGGUCAUUUUGGAUUUUAUGGGUCAUUUGUUGGGAAUUUUGGCAUUUUUGAGGUGUUUUGGGGAUAUUUUGGGUCUUUUUUUAGGGUAAUUUUGGGGUUUUUUUGAGAAUUUGGGUUUUUUUGGGGUCAUUUUUUGGAAAUUCUGGG